AGUCGAACGGCAGCACGGGGGCAACCCUGGUGGCGAGUGGCGAACGGGUGAGUAAUACAUCGGAACGUGUCCUGUAGUGGGGGAUAGCCCGGCGAAAGCCGGAUUAAUACCGCAUACGCUCUACGGAGGAAAGGGGGGGAUCUUAGGACCUCCCGCUACAGGGGCGGCCGAUGGCAGAUUAGCUAGUUGGUGGGGUAAAGGCCUACCAAGGCGACGAUCUGUAGCUGGUCUGAGAGGACGACCAGCCACACUGGGACUGAGACACGGCCCAGACUCCUACGGGAGGCAGCAGUGGGGAAUUUUGGACAAUGGGGGCAACCCUGAUCCAGCAAUGCCGCGUGUGUGAAGAAGGCCUUCGGGUUGUAAAGCACUUUUGUCCGGAAAGAAAACGCCGUGGUUAAUACCCGUGGCGGAUGACGGUACCGGAAGAAUAAGCACCGGCUAACUACGUGCCAGCAGCCGCGGUAAUACGUAGGGUGCAAGCGUUAAUCGGAAUUACUGGGCGUAAAGCGUGCGCAGGCGGUCCGCUAAUACAGAUGUGAAAUCCCCGGGCUUAACCUGGGAACUGCAUUUGUGACUGGCGGGCUAGAGUAUGGCAGAGGGGGGUAGAAUUCCACGUGUAGCAGUGAAAUGCGUAGAGAUGUGGAGG
rnacentral:rRNA from 1 species